UGAACGCUGGCGGCGUGCCUAAUACAUGCAAGUCGAGCGAACAGACGAGGAGCUUGCUCCUCUGACGUUAGCGGCGGACGGGUGAGUAACACGUGGAUAACCUACCUAUAAGACUGGGAUAACUUCGGGAAACCGGAGCUAAUACCGGAUAAUAUAUUGAACCGCAUGGUUCAAUAGUGAAAGACGGUUUUGCUGUCACUUAUAGAUGGAUCCGCGCCGCAUUAGCCAGUUGGUAAGGUAACGGCUUACCAAGGCAACGAUGCGUAGCCGACCUGAGAGGGUGAUCGGCCACACUGGAACUGAGACACGGUCCAGACUCCUACGGGAGGCAGCAGUAGGGAAUCUUCCGCAAUGGGCGAAAGCCUGACGGAGCAACGCCGCGUGAGUGAUGAAGGUCUUCGGAUCGUAAAACUCUGUUAUUAGGGAAGAACAAAUGUGUAAGUAACUAUGCACGUCUUGACGGUACCUAAUCAGAAAGCCACGGCUAACUACGUG
rnacentral:rRNA from 1 species